rnacentral:misc_RNA from 1 species
UCGUAACAAGGUUUCCGUAGGUGAACCUGCGGAAGGAUCAUUACCGAGUGUAGGGUUCCUAGCGAGCCCAACCUCCCACCCGUGUUUACUGUACCUUAGUUGCUUCGGCGGGCCCGCCAUUCAUGGCCGCCGGGGGCUCUCAGCCCCGGGCCCGCGCCCGCCGGAGACACCACGAACUCUGUCUGAUCUAGUGAAGUCUGAGUUGAUUGUAUCGCAAUCAGUUAAAACUUUCAACAAUGGAUCUCUUGGUUCCGGCAUCGAUGAAGAACGCAGCGAAAUGCGAUAACUAGUGUGAAUUGCAGAAUUCCGUGAAUCAUCGAGUCUUUGAACGCACAUUGCGCCCCCUGGUAUUCCGGGGGGCAUGCCUGUCCGAGCGUCAUUGCUGCCCAUCAAGCACGGCUUGUGUGUUGGGUCGUCGUCCCCUCUCCGGGGGGGACGGGCCCCAAAGGCAGCGGCGGCACCGCGUCCGAUCCUCGAGCGUAUGGGGCUUUGUCACCCGCUCUGUAGGCCCGGCCGGCGCUUGCCGAACGCAAAUCAAUCUUUUUCCAGGUUGACCUCGGAUCAGGUAGGGAUACCCGCUGAACCUAAGCAUAUC